rnacentral:rRNA from 1 species
CAGCUCCAAGAGCGUAUAUUAAUACUGCUGUAGUUAAAACGCCCGUAGUAUACCUAAGAGUGGGUGUGUAGUAAUUAGUUUUGCCAGAGGACGGUUGGCGAGAGUUUAUCACUCUUGUUUACCUACUUUUGGUAGACUUUAGUCGGGCUGGACCUUUGGUCCUCGUCUGACAGUUGCUACGUGCUUACUUACCACGGUUCAUCCGUGAGGCCCUUGGCUUGCAACUGUAAAUAAAUCGUUGUGCUUAAAGCGGGCUAUGAUACUCUGCCAGAGCGAUUUAGCAUGGGACUGCAGAGUAGCUGUAUUUGAGUGAAGGUUGCACCUCGGUGUGGCUGGAGCUUGGUACAGCGCUUGUAAUGGAGCUCAGGGUGAGGCCCCGGGUACCAUGAGGCUAGAGGUGAAAUUCUGAGACCCUCAUGUGACCAACUAAGGCGAAAGCUGUCGUGGGCCACCACAAGCUCGUCUAUCAGGGACGAAAGUUGGGGGAUCGAAGACGAUUAGAUACCGUCGUAGUCCCAGCUAUAAACGAUACCAACCGAGUAUUUGGGAAGACACUAUCCCAGCGAUCUUCUCAGAACUCAAGGGAAACCUUAAGUCUUUGGGUUCUGGGGGGAGUAUAGUCGCAAGACGAAACUUAAAGGAAUUGACGGAAAGGCACCACCAGGAGUGGAGUCUGCGGCUUAAUUCGACUCAACACGGGGAAACUCACCAGGUCAGGACACAAGUUUGAUUGACAGGUUAAUAGCCCUUUCUUGAUUGUGUGGUGGGUAGUGCAUGGCCGUUUCCAGUUCGUGGAGUGAUCUGUCUUGUUAAUUCAGAUAACGAACGAGACCUAAGCCUUUAACUAGCCGUAGGCCUUUUCCUUCGGGGAAGGGUUAGUUUGUCGGAACAGGCUUCGGUCUGUUCCAAAACCUACGAGACUUUUGUCAGCUUCUUAAAGGGACUUCAUUCGUAAACUAGGAUGAGGAAGAUUUAGGCCAUAACAGGUCUGUGAUGCUCUUAGAUGUCCUGGGCUGCACGCGUACUACAAUAACGGUACCAGCGAGCGCUAUGGUUUUAUAACCCCUUAUCCUAAUAGGAUUGGGAAAACUUUUCAAACACCGUUAUGACAGGGAUCGAGGAUUGGAACAUCCUCGUGAACGAGGAAUUCCUAGUAAGCGUGGUUCAUCAUACCACAUUGAUUACGUCCCUGCCUUUUGUACACACCGCCCGUCGCUCCUACCGAUGGGACGAAGAGAUGAACCUGGCGGACCGAACCGCAAGGUAAGGGAAACCAGUUAAAUCUCUUCGUCUGUAGGAAGGAAAAGUCGUAACAAGGUCUC